ensembl:lncRNA
GUACGUUCGCCCUAGGGUCAGAGUCGUCUGCGCUGUUCGAGCUUUACCCUAUCGUAGCAGCUAGCGUUCUGUGGGGCAAAGCAUGGCGGCGUUAACGUAUAACCAUGUUUUGCGAUAACAAAGCAGCGUCAAAACGGCUGGGAAGGUGGUCUUCCACAGCAUACGGAUUUUACAUCCGGUUGAAUUCGUUGAGUUCGUCGCACACGUCGGUGUGGUACAACACAGAACUCUACGUUCGCAAUCCAAGGUUCAUAAUUAUCUUUAUACCGUGCACUGUUCGGUUAACUCCUUGUGUCUGAGGUUUUUCCCUUCACUUUAACAUGAAUGAAGUUGAUGGGUUUUAGGCACUGUGGUAACUGAUUAUUACUAAAAGGUUUUUAUUGACGAAGGGCCUUUUGGAUUGGUUAAGCUGCUGCUCACUAACUCUCACGUUCCUCUGCUCGCAAUGCGAUUCACAUAUCGUUCAAUUUAUCAAAAGAUCCAAAGACAAAGAACAGGUACAUUAUGGUAUCAUUUUAUAUAUUAUAGUCUUAUUGUUAAUAGCUUCAGUCGCGUUGGUAUUUAAUUUUUCAUUUGCUCGUUUAGCUACGUAUGACAGUUACAAAUGUUGGUGUAGGCCUACUACAAUUAUUUACGUGUGUAGGCCACUCCAACUCACUCGAUAUUUCAAAAAGAUUAGUGUGCUCUCUCAGCUGGGAGAUUUCAUCCUUAUUUUAACAUAUUACUCAAGACUGUGUUUUCUCACAGUUCUACGGGUUCAUGCGUUCUCGGGUUCAUGCGUCCAUGCGUACACGCGUUCUCGGGUUUAGGCGUUCUUGGGUUUAUGCGCAAAUGCGUACACGUCUCCUACUCAGACUUUUUCCCCUACACAGGGCCUGACUUUCGCUGAUGUCACCUUCUCUGCAAGGCAUUUUUCAUCUAAAAGCGAUAGCCUAGGAGCAGCUGUUACUAUUAUCAUUUCAAGAAUCAACAACUCUCUGUCCUUACGCUUCCAUGUUCCUUUAUCUCAAGCUUCGGGCAACGCACGUCCCCGAAUCACCUGUUUAUUUGCGGCCUGCCAAUGACUAAAGGGUGGUUCAGAGUCAAUCUCGCGACGGUGGUAGAAGGGUGCGGCCCACCAUCUCCCCUCUACAUUGGCCACUCCUUCCGGAUUGGAGCGGCAACCACAGCCGCUGAACAAGGGUUGCCGGUCGCGUCUAUCAAACGGCUGGGAAGGCGGUCUUCCACAGCUUACGAAUCCUACAUCCGGU